CCUACGGGUGGCAGCAGUGAGGGAUAUUGGACAAUGGGGGAAACCCUGAUCCAGCAACGCCGCGUGAGGGAAGAAGUAUUUCGGUAUGUAAAGCUCUAUCAGCAGGGAAGAUAGAAAUGACGGUACCUGAGUAAGAAGCCCCGGCUAACUACGUGCCAGCAGCCGCGGUAAUACGUAGGGGGCAAGCGUUAUCCGGAAUUACUGGGUGUAAAGGGAGCGUAGGCGGUAAUGCAAGUCUGGAGUGAAAGGCGGGGGCCCAACCCUCGGACUGCUCUGGAAACUGUGUAACUGGAGUGCAGUAGAGGCAGGCGGAAUUCGUGGUGUAGCGGUGAAAUGCGUAGAUAUCAGGAGGAACUCCAGUGGCGAAGGCGGCCUGCUGGACUGUAACUGACGCUGAGGCUCGAAAGUGUGGGGAGCAAACAGGAUUAGAUACCCUAGUAGUC
rnacentral:rRNA from 1 species